rnacentral:rRNA from 1 species
CCCUUAGAUGUCCGGGGCCGCACGCGCGCUACACUGAAGGAAUCAGCGUGGCUUUCUCCCUGACCCGAAAGGGUUGGGAAACCCGUUGAAUCUCCUUCGUGAUAGGGAUUGGGGCUUGAAAUUGUUCCCCAUGAACGAGGAAUUCCCAGUAAGCGCGAGUCAUAAGCUCGCGUUGAUUACGUCCCUGCCCUUUGUACACACCGCCCGUCGCUACUACCGAUUGAACGGUUUAGUGAGGGCCUCGGAUUGGUCUCGGCCCGCUCUUUACCGGGCGGCGCCGUGGGUCGAGAAGACGCUCGAACUUGAUCGUUUAGAGGAAGUAAAAGUCGUAACA